rnacentral:rRNA from 3 species
GUUGACCUCGAAUCAGGUAGGACUACCCGCUGAACUUAAGCAUAUCAAUAAGCGGAGGAAAAG